GGGAAGGUGGCUCAGUGGUAGAGCACUUGCCUUGCAUGCCUGAGGCCCUGGGUUCAAUUCCUCAGCUACCACA
rfam:Dipodomys ordii contig_24284, whole genome shotgun sequence.